AAAAUUCUAGAAAAUUCAAAAACCAGCGUACUUCCUAUAAUACCAACCCAAAUGCUACAGAUUUCCACAGAUAUACAUUAACGUUUGACUAACUACAACUAUAUAUAGUAAUUCACUCAAAAUAUAAAAUUGUUUAAUAACGUCUAAUUUCUUAUUUAUAUAUAGACAUCGGACAUCCCUUGAAUGGAGGUGUCCUCGCGGAUAGCCAUCUAAGGUCGAGGAAAACUUUUUGAAAACAACU